CCAGAACCUCUGCUACCAGUGUGCUUGUCCCUGCUGUGAGCCACAGCUGCCCCCCGCCUCUGCAGGAGACACUCCAACACUAGCAGGAACUUUGAGUCGCUCCAGAGCCCAAGCACCUGAUCCUCAAAUGUCGAUCCUGAUGGAAGGCUUUUCUGAGGAGAGAGAAUAAAAGGAAUAAAGGAG